UACAAGUUAAUAUUUCUAUUUGCUUUAAAUCCAGCAUUUCUAAUCCCCUAUGAAGCCUUUUCUCCCCCUCAGCCAUUCUUACUGCACAAGCAGGAGGUUACAUGAGACUGAGGAACUCUUCUAAUGAUAUCCCUGUUUCAUGGAUUGUUGUAUCCAAAUAAUUCAUCAUUAAAUGACUAGCCUGCUUGUGAUAAGCCUUUCUGGGCUUAGGCUAUACUGGUCCACAGAAAGGGGAUACCAUCUAACCUUGGGACCAUACUCCCCUUUCUCACCUGUCAAAGUUUGCCCUCCACUGACCUAGUCUUUCUUUUUCUUUUUAUUUUUUUAUAUCCUUUACUUUCUGUCUUAAUAUCAUCUCUAAGACAGAAAAAUGGCAAAGGACUAAAGCAACUGGAGUUAAGUGUCCCAUAGCUAGGAAAUAUCUGCUGAAGUCAGAUUUGAACCCAGGUCCUCCCAAUUCCAGGUCUGGUGCUUUAUCCACGGGGCUACCUAGCUGCCCCCAGUAGCCUAAUCUUUAAGAACUUAAAGAACAUAAGAAUAUGUGUUUGCCAGAUUGAAAUUUAUUUUCCCCAAAGCACAUGGGAGAGAUGAGUUUCUUAGAGAUUGGAGUGGUAUGAGUGGAGUUCCACUCUGGAAAGGUACCUUUCCACUGUGAUAAAGCUAAAUGUCUUCAGCUGGUUCCUUUUGGUGCCUGGAUGCUGCAAGGUUAUCAGAGCAAGUCUUGUCUUUCACUUCCUGCCUAUGUCCAAGAUCUCUUAGGAGACUGUUCUUCAGUUCAGAAAAGAGGUAUUUUGGAUAAAUACUACAAACGCUCGUCGGUGGGGUUUUCGAGAAUAUGGCUUUUUUUUUUUUAUACUAAAGAAUAGAAAGCCUCCCUCAAGAGUUGGUGGAAUACAUGAGCUACAUUCUCAAAUCAACAAACAUCUUCGGGAAAGCAGAUACUUUUUAUAAUUUUGAAUAAAAUGAAAGUUGCCUUAUAUAAUAUAAUAUGC
rnacentral:lncRNA from 1 species